rnacentral:rRNA from 1 species
CCUACGGGAGGCAGCAGUGGGGAAUAUUGCACAAUGGGGGAAACCCUGAUGCAGCGACGCCGCGUGAGUGAAGAAGUAAUUCGUUAUGUAAAGCUCUAUCAGCAGGGAAGAAAAUGACGGUACCUGAGUCAGAAGCACCGGCUAACUACGUGCCAGCAGCCGCGGGUAUACGUAGGGGGCAAGCGUUAUCCGGAUUUACUGGGGGUAAAGGGAGCGUAGACGGCAGUGCAGGUCUGGAGUGAAAGGCGGGGGUUCAACCCCCGGACUGCCCUGGAAACUGUACGGCUGGAGUGCAGGAGAGGUAAGUGGAAUUCCUAGUGUAGCGGUGAAAUGCGUAGAUAUUAGGAGGAACACCAGUUGCGAAGGCGGCUUACUGGACUGUAACUGACGUUGAGGCUCGAAAGCGUGGGGAGCAAACAGGAUUAGAUACCCCUGUAGUC